rnacentral:rRNA from 1 species
UACAGAGGUCCCAAGCGUUGUUCGGAUUCACUGGGCGUAAAGGGUGCGUAGGUGGCCAGGUAAGUCUGAUGUGAAAUCUCGGAGCUCAACUCCGAAACUGCAUUGGAUACUAUCUGGCUGGAGGGUCGGAGGGGGGACUGGAAUUCUCGGUGUAGCAGUGAAAUGCGUAGAUAUCGAGAGGAACACCAGUGGCGAAGCCGAGUCCCUGGACACUUCCUGACACUGAGGCACGAAAGCUAGGGGAGCAAACAGG